rnacentral:rRNA from 1 species
GAUGAACGCUGGCGGCGUGCCUAAUACAUGCAAGUCGAGCGAAGCGGGGACGGGUGAGUAACACGUGGAUAACCUCCUAUAAGACUGGGAUAACUUCGGGAAACCGGACCUAAACCGGUUCCUUAUAGAUUGAUCUGCGCUCCAUUAGCUAGUUGGUAAGGUAACGGCUUACCAAGGAAACGAUGCAUAGCCGGCCUGAGAGGGUGAUCGGCCACACUGGAACUGAGACACGGUCCACACUCCUACGGGAGGCAGAAGUAGGGAAUCUUCCGCAAUGGGCGAAAGCCGGACGGAGCAACGACGCGUGAGUGAUGAAGGUCUGCGGAUCGUAAAACACUGUUAUUAGGGAAGCGGUAAAUAAAGAGAAAGCAACGGCUAACUACGUGCCAGCAGCCGCGGUAAUAG